rnacentral:rRNA from 1 species
UACGUAGGGUGCAAGCGUUAAUCGGAAUUACUGGGCGUAAAGCGUGCGCAGGCGGUUUCGUAAGUCUGUCGUGAAAUCCCCGGGCUUAACCUGGGAACUGCGUUUGAAACUACAAGGCUAGAGUGUGGCAGAGGGGGGUGGAAUUCCACGUGUAGCAGUGAAAUGCGUAGAGAUGUGGAGGAACACCGAUGGCGAAGGCAGCCCCCUGGGUUAACACUGACGCUCAGGCACGAAAGCGUGGGGAGCAAACAGG